UACAACCUAAGGCUUUACUGCCUUUUGGUAGCAAGAUUUUCUAGUAUACACCUAUAUUCUUAAUGGAUUUCUCCAUUGAGCGUGCCAGGAAUCUACAUUCCCAUUUUCCACUAAUUCCAAGUGGAAUAAACGAAAUUAACUAAAACUCAUACAAAAAUAAAUAAAGAAAAUAAAAUAAAAAUGGCGAGAAAUAAAAGAAAGGAAAAACUUGAAUAAUUUGCUGAAGUUCACGCCUCCAGUUGCUCUCCGUUCUCUAGUUGGCGUGAAUCUAAAACAUUGUCACACCCCAA
rnacentral:lncRNA from 1 species